rnacentral:rRNA from 1 species
ACGGAGGGAGCAAGCGUUGUUCGGAUUUACUGGGCGUAAAGGGCGUCUAGGCGGGUUGGUCAGUCAGGUGUGAAACCCCCCGGCUCAACCGGGGAUCUGCACUUGAUACUGCCGAUCUUGAGUACGGAAGAGGAAAGCGGAAUUCCUGGUGUAGCGGUGAAAUGCGUAGAUAUCAGGAAGAACACCGGUGGCGAAGGCGGCUUUCUGGUCCGAUACUGACGCUAAAGCGCGAAAGUGUGGGGAGCAAACAG